rnacentral:miRNA from 14 species
CCUUUUCUCGAUUACUUGGGAC